rnacentral:rRNA from 1 species
UACGGAAGGGGCAAGCGUUGUUCGGAAUCAUUGGGCGUAAAGGGCGCGUAGGUGGUUCUGUAUGUCUACCGUGAAAGCGUACGGCUCAACCGUAUUUUGUCGGUAGAAACUGCAGGACUUGAGGCUGGGAGGGGCUGGUGGAAUUCCCUGUGUAGCGGUGAAAUGCGUAGAGAUCAGGAAGAACACCAGUGGCGAAGGCGCUCUGCUAGGCCGUAACUGACACUGAGGGACGAAAGCUAGGGGAGCGAAUGGG